CGCGGCCUAUCAGCUUGUUGGGGGGGUAAUGGCCCACCAAGGCGACGACGGGUAGCUGGUCUGAGAGGAUGGCCAGCCACAUUGGGACUGAGAGACGGCCCAGACUCCUACGGGAGGCAGCAGUGGGGAAUCUUGCGCAAUGGCCGAAAGGCUGACGCAGCGACGCCGCGUGGGGGAGGAAGGCCUUCGGGUUGUAAACCCCUGUUGCCCGGGACGAAUGUGCACUUUAGAGUGCAUUGACGGUACCGGGUGAGGAAGCACCGGCUAACUCCGUGCCAGCAGCCGCGGUAAUACGGAGGGUGCAAGCGUUGUCCGGAAUCACUGGGCGUAAAGGGCGCGUAGGCGGCUCAUAAAGGCUGUGGUGAAAGUUCGGGGCUCAACCUCGAAUCGGCCGUGGCGACUUGUGGGCUGGAGCACUGUAGAGGCAGGUGGAAUUCCGGGUGUAGCGGUGGGAUGCGUAGAGAUCCGGAAGAACACCAGUGGCGAAGGCGGCCUGCUGGGCAGUGGCUGACGCUGAGGCGCGACAGCGUGGGGAGCAAACAGGAUUAGAUACCCUGGUAGUCCACGCCGUAAACGAUGGGCACUAGGUGCUUGGGGGAGCGACCCUCUGAGUGCCGGCGCUAACGCAUUAAGUGCCCCGCCUGGGGAGUACGG
rnacentral:rRNA from 1 species